AGAGUUUGAUCCUGGCUCAGAUUGAACGCUGGCGGCAGGCCUAACACAUGCAAGUCGAACGGUAACAGGAAGCAGCUUGCUGUUUCGCUGACGAGUGGCGGACGGGUGAGUAAUGUCUGGGAAACUGCCUGAUGGAGGGGGAUAACUACUGGAAACGGUAGCUAAUACCGCAUAACGUCGCAAGACCAAAGAGGGGGACCUUCGGGCCUCUUGCCAUCGGAUGUGCCCAGAUGGGAUUAGCUAGUAGGUGGGGUAACGGCUCACCUAGGCGACGAUCCCUAGCUGGUCUGAGAGGAUGACCAGCCACACUGGAACUGAGACACGGUCCAGACUCCUACGGGAGGCAGCAGUGGGGAAUAUUGCACAAUGGGCGCAAGCCUGAUGCAGCCAUGCCGCGUGUAUGAAGAAGGCCUUCGGGUUGUAAAGUACUUUCAGCGGGGAGGAAGGGAGUAAAGUUAAUACCUUUGCUCAUUGACGUUACCCGCAGAAGAAGCACCGGCUAACUCCGUGCCAGCAGCCGCGGUAAUACGGAGGGUGCAAGCGUUAAUCGGAAUUACUGGGCGUAAAGCGCACGCAGGCGGUUUGUUAAGUCAGAUGUGAAAUCCCCGGGCUCAACCUGGGAACUGCAUCUGAUACUGGCAAGCUUGAGUCUCGUAGAGGGGGGUAGAAUUCCAGGUGUAGCGGUGAAAUGCGUAGAGAUCUGGAGGAAUACCGGUGGCGAAGGCGGCCCCCUGGACGAAGACUGACGCUCAGGUGCGAAAGCGUGGGGAGCAAACAGGAUUAGACACCCUGGUAGUCCACGCCGUAAACGAUGUCGACUUGGAGGUUGUGCCCUUGAGGCGUGGCUUCCGGAGCUAACGCGUUAAGUCGACCGCCUGGGGAGUACGGCCGCAAGGUUAAAACUCAAGUGAAUUGACGGGGGCCCGCACAAGCGGUGGAGCAUGUGGUUUAAUUCGAUGCAACGCGAAGAACCUUACCUGGUCUUGACAUCCACAGAACUUUCCAGAGAUGGAUUGGUGCCUUCGGGAACUGUGAGACAGGUGCUGCAUGGCUGUCGUCAGCUCGUGUUGUGAAAUGUUGGGUUAAGUCCCGCAACGAGCGCAACCCUUAUCCUUUGUUGCCAGCGGUCCGGCCGGGAACUCAAAGGAGACUGCCAGUGAUAAACUGGAGGAAGGUGGGGAUGACGUCAAGUCAUCAUGGCCCUUACGACCAGGGCUACACACGUGCUACAAUGGCGCAUACAAAGAGAAGCGACCUCGCGAGAGCAAGCGGACCUCAUAAAGUGCGUCGUAGUCCGGAUUGGAGUCUGCAACUCGACUCCAUGAAGUCGGAAUCGCUAGUAAUUGUGGAUCAGAAUGCCACGGUGAAUACGUUCCCGGGCCUUGCACUCACCGCCCGUCA
rnacentral:rRNA from 1 species